AUACGUAGGGUGCGUGCGUUGUCCGGAAUUACUGGGCGUAAAGAGCUCGUAGGUGGUUUGUCGCGUCGUCUGUGAAAUUCCGGGGCUUAACUCCGGGCGUGCAGGCGAUACGGGCAUAACUUGAGUACUGUAGGGGAGACUGGAAUUCCUGGUGUAGCGGUGAAAUGCGCAGAUAUCAGGAGGAACACCGGUGGCGAAGGCGGGUCUCUGGGCAGUAGCUGACGCUGAGGAGCGAAAGCAUGGGUAGCGAACAGGAUUAGAUACCCUGGUAGUCCAUGCCGUAAACGGUGGGCGCUAGGUGUAGGGGUCUUCCACGACUUCUGUGCCGUAGCUAACGCAUUAAGCGCCCCGCCUGGGGAGUACGGCCGCAAGGCUAAAACUCAAAGGAAUUGACGGGG
rnacentral:rRNA from 1 species